rnacentral:rRNA from 1 species
GUAAUACCUUCCCUGUUCAUUGCAGGUUGGCUAUUUGUUAGUACGGGUUUAGCUUAUGACGUGUUUCGAAGUCUUCGGCCAAACGAGUACUUCAUGGAAUGCCGACAAGGAAUAAACGGCCAUUUUGUUUCUUUAUGA